GAUGAACGCUAGCGGGAGGCCUAACACAUGCAAGCCGAGCGGUAUUGUUUCUUCGGAAAUGAGAGAGCGGCGUACGGGUGCGUAACACGUGUGCAACCUGCCUUUAUCUGGGGGAUAGCCUUUCGAAAGGAAGAUUAAUACUCCAUAAUAUAUUGAACGGCAUCGUUUAAUGUUGAAAGCUCCGGCGGAUAGAGAUGGGCACGCGCAAGAUUAGCUAGUUGGUGAGGUAACGGCUCACCAAGGCGAUGAUCUUUAGGGGGCCUGAGAGGGUGAUCCCCCACACUGGUACUGAGACACGGACCAGACUCCUACGGGAGGCAGCAGUGAGGAAUAUUGGUCAAUGGGUGCAAGCCUGAACCAGCCAUCCCGCGUGAAGGACGACUGCCCUAUGGGUUGUAAACUCCUUUUGUAUAGGGAUAAACCUACCCUCGAGAGGGUAGCUGAAGGUACUAUACGAAUAAGCACCGGCUAACUCCGUG
rnacentral:rRNA from 1 species